rnacentral:tRNA from 1 species
GGAGUUGUGGCUCAGUGGUAGAGCACUUGCCUAGAAUGCCUGAGGCACUGGGUUCGAUCCCCAGCACCA